rnacentral:tRNA from 1 species
GUGGGAGUACCGAAGCGGCCAAACGGGACAGACUCAAGAUCUGUUGGCUUAGUGCCUUCACAGGUUCGAAUCCUGUCUCCCACA